rnacentral:lncRNA from 1 species
UCAAUGAAGCUCCUCUCUGCCUUGCUCACCCUCCACUUGUCCGUGUACCUCAUUCUUGUCGUGGAACAAGACCCUGGGACCCAGUGAAUGGUGGGACUGAAAGAGCGGUAACACAAACAGGGCUGAAACAUGCCCACCGCUCGCCACUUUGUGGGCGACGAGGAGAAACGAACUGCUGUGGCCCUUCAGGAAUCCCAGACCUAGAGACUCCUGAGCCAGGGCUGUGACACCCUCUUUGGGGCUCCGCAGUUUCUGGUGUCUCCAAGCUUCCGGGUGCCAUCGUAUUUCCCAGUGCCUGCAGUGGAAGCCAUUUGUGGUAACGCCUGGUCCAGCCAGUCUCACACGGAACCCACGCCUGUGCUGGCGCCUGGAGCUGCCUGCCCAGUGGCAGCAAGCACGCAUGGCUGUGUGCAGUGGCCAGACCCCAUGCUUAUUAACACACCCCUUGCUACUCCUCACCAGGCUCGCCCUUGGCAGGUGUGGGAUCCAGGUCAGUAUUAUGAGCCAAAUACAGCCUGCUGGGGCGAGUGAGCAGAAGAGGCCAGCGGGCCCGUGUAAAACUCAGGCAAAGGCACCACCAGCCGCAGAGGUUUCCAACUGAAAAAGUGACACGGUUUGAUCUUCGCAGUGGCCUGUGGCUAAGACUGAUAUUAAAGGAAGAAUUAAAAUCCUGAAUCAAUCAUGAACUUUAAAGUUAAGAUGAAUUCAAGGAUAUCAAACUUGACUGCAUAAGAGAGUAUCAUGUUUGGAGAGAAGAAAUAAUUUUAUUGCGAGACACAAAGUGGUGUCUGUCACUUAAAUCCUUCACCAAUCUACCUCCUGUACUCGUGGAAAAAAAGGAAUCAGUCGGUCCUGCUACAGAUUGAAUGUUCACAUUCUCCAAAAACUUAAUUGCUGAAAUCUUAACCCCUAAUUUGAUGGCAUUAGGAAGUGGAGUCGUUGGAGGUGAUAAGGUCAUGAGAACAGAUCCCUCAUGAAUGGCAUUAGUGCCCGUAUAAAAGAGUCCUCAGAGAACUCCCUCAUCCAUUUCACCAUUUGAAGACACAGCAAGAAGAUCGUAAUCAAUAAACUAGAAAGUUGGCCCUUACCAGAUAUUGAAUCUACUGGCACCUUGAUCUUGGACUUUCCAGCCUUCAGAACUGUGAGGAAUAAAUUUCUGUUGUUUACAAGCUCCCCCCUUAUGGCAUUUUAUUACUGCAACAAGA